CCUACGGGUGGCAGCAGUGGGGAAUAUUGCACAAUGGGGGAGACCCUGAUGCAGCGACGUCGCGUGAGUGAAGAAGUCAUUAGUUAUGUAAAGCUCUAUCAGCAGGGAAGAAAAUGACGGUACGUGAGUAAGAAGCCACGGCUAACUACGUGACAGCAGCCGCGGUAAUACGUAGGGGGCAAGCGUUAUCCGGAUUUACUGGGUGUAAAGGGAGCGUAGACGGGAGUGCAAGUCUGGAGUGAAAGGCGGGGGCUCAACCCCCGGACUGCUCUUGAAACUGUACGGCUUGAGUGCAGGAGAGGUAUGUGGAAUUCCUGGUGUAGCGGUGAAAUGCGUAGAUAUUAGGAAGAACACCAGUGGCGAAGGCAGCUUACUGGACUGUAACUGACGUUGAGGCUCGAAAGCGUGGGUAGCAAACAGGAUUAGAUACCCUUGUAGUC
rnacentral:rRNA from 1 species